rnacentral:rRNA from 1 species
CCUACGGGAGGCAGCAGUGAGGAAUAUUGGUCAAUGGGAGAGAUCCUGAACCAGCCAAGCCGCGUGAGGGAAGACGGCCCUAUGGGUUGUAAACCUCUUUUGUCGGAGAACAAAACCCGGGACGUGUCCCGGACUGCGUGUAUCCGAAGAAAAAGCAUCGGCUAACUCCGUGCCAGCAGCCGCGGUAAUACGGAGGAUGCGAGCGUUAUCCGGAUUUAUUGGGUUUAAAGGGUGCGCAGGCGGCGAGUUAAGUCAGCGGUAAAAUUUCGGGGCUCAACCCCGACGAGCCGUUGAAACUGGCUUGC